GAUGAACGCUGGCGGCGUGCCUAAUACAUGCAAGUCGAGCGAACAGACGAGGAGCUUGCUCCUCUGACGUUAGCGGCGGACGGGUGAGUAACACGUGGAUAACCUACCUAUAAGACUGGGAUAACUUCGGGAAACCGAAGCUAAUACCGGAUAACAUGUUGAACCGCAUGGUUUAACAGUGAAAGACGGUCUUGCUGUCACUUAUAGAUGGAUCCGCGCCGCAUUAGCUAGUUGGUAAGGUAACGGCUUACCAAGGCAACGAUGCGUAGCCGACCUGAGAGGGUGAUCGGCCACACUGGAACUGAGACACGGUCCAGACUCCUACGGGAGGCAGCAGUAGGGAAUCUUCCGCAAUGGGCGAAAGCCUGACGGAGCAACGCCGCGUGAGUGAAGAAGGUCUUCGGAUCGUAAAACUCUGUUAUUAGGGAAGAACAAAUGUGUAAGUAACUAUGCACGUCUUGACGGUACCUAAUCAGAAAGCCACGGCUAACUACGUG
rnacentral:rRNA from 1 species